rnacentral:rRNA from 1 species
UACGGGAGGCAGCAGCGGGGAAUAUUGCACAAUGGGCGCAAGCCUAAUGCAGCCAUGCCGCGUGUAUGAAGAAGGCCUUCGGGUUGUAAAGUACUUUCUAGUCGUGAGGAAGGUGUUAAGGUUAAUAACCUUAGCAAUUGACGUUAGCGACAGAAGAAGCACCGGCUAACUCCGUGCCAGCAGCCGCGGUAAUACGGAGGGUGCGAGCGUUAAUCGGAAUUACUGGGCGUAAAGGGCACGCAGGCGGUUAAUUAAGUUGGAUGUGAAAUCCCCGGGCUUAACCUGGGAAUGGCAUUCAAGACUGGUUAGCUAGAGUCUUGUAGAGGGGGGUAGGAAUUCCAUGUGUAGCGGUGAAAUGCGUAGAGAUGUGGAGGAAUACCGGUGGCGAAGGCGGCCCCCUGGACAAAGACUGACGCUCAUGUGCGAAAGCGUGGGGAGCAAACAGGGAUUAGAUAC